CUGGCUCAGGAUGAACGCUGGCGGUCUGCUUAACACAUGCAAGUCGAACGGGGGUCUUCGGACCCUAGUGGCGGACGGGUGAGUAACGCGUGAGAAUCUGCCCUCAGGACGGGGACAACAGCUGGAAACGGCUGCUAAUACCCGAUGUGCCGAGAGGUGAAAUGUAAUUCGCCUGAGGAUGAGCUCGCGUCUGAUUAGCUAGUUGGUAGGGUAAGAGCCUACCAAGGCGACGAUCAGUAGCUGGUCUGAGAGGAUGAUCAGCCACACUGGGACUGAGACACGGCCCAGACUCCUACGGGAGGCAGCAGUGGGGAAUUUUCCGCAAUGGGCGCAAGCCUGACGGAGCAAGACCGCGUGCGGGAUGAAGGUCUGUGGACUGUAAACCGCUUUUGAUAGGGAAGAACACAAUGACGGUACCUAUCGAAUCAGCCUCGGCUAACUCCGUGCCAGCAGCCGCGGUAAUACGGAGGAGGCAAGCGUUAUCCGGAAUUAUUGGGCGUAAAGCGUCCGUAGGUGGUGAUGCAAGUCUAUUGUCAAAGCAUGAGGCUUAACCUCAUACCGGCAGUGGAAACUGCAUUGCUAGAGUGCGAUAGGGGCAAGGGGAAUUCCCAGUGUAGCGGUGAAAUGCGUAGAUAUUGGGAAGAACAUCGGUGGCGAAAGCGCCUUGCUGGGUCUGCACUGACACUGAGGGACGAAAGCUAGGGGAGCGAAAGGGAUUAGAUACCCCUGUAGUCCUAGCCGUAAACGAUGGAUACUAGGCGUUGUCCGUAUCGACCCGGGCAGUGCCGUAGCUAACGCGUUAAGUAUCCCGCCUGGGGAGUACGCUCGCAAGAGUGAAACUCAAAUGAAUUGACGGGGCAAAUGAAUUGACGGGG
rnacentral:rRNA from 1 species